UAAUCAAUUUAAAUAGCUAAA
rnacentral:piRNA from 1 species